GAUGAAGAACGCAGCGAAAUGCGAUACUUGGUGUGAAUUGCAGAAUCCCGUGUACCAUCGAGUCUUUGAACGCAAGUUGCGCCUCAAGCCAUUAGGUUGAGGGCACGUCUGCCUGGGCGUCACAUAUCGUUGCCUGAUGCCAGUUUCCUCGUGAUGGGUGACUGUGCAGGGCGAAUGAUGGCUUCCCGUGAGCAUUGUUGCCUCAUGGUUGGUUGAAAAUUGAGUCCUUGGUAGGGAGCGCCGUGAUAGAUGGUGGUUGAGUGACGAACGAGACCCAAUCAUGUGAGACCCCUACCGAAUUUGGCCUUCAUGACCCACAUGCGUCUUUGGAACGCUCAUGACGAGACCUCAGGUCAGGCGGGGCUACCCGCUGAGUUUAAGCAUAUCAAUAAGCGGAGGA
rnacentral:misc_RNA from 1 species